rnacentral:rRNA from 1 species
AAGAGACAGCAGCCGCCGCGGGAAUACAGAGGGUGCGAGCGUUAAUCGGAUUUACUGGGCGUAAAGCGUGCGUAGGCGGCUUUUUAAGUCGGAUGUGAAAUCCCUGAGCUUAACUUAGGAAUUGCAUUCGAUACUGGGAAGCUAGAGUAUGGGAGAGGAUGGUAGAAUUCCAGGUGUAGCGGUGAAAUGCGUAGAGAUCUGGAGGAAUACCGAUGGCGAAGGCAGCCAUCUGGCCUAAUACUGACGCUGAGGUACGAAAGCAUGGGGAGCAAACAGGAUUAGAUACCCCCGUAGUCCCUGUCUCUUAUAC